GGAAGUCAAGGAAUUGAAGCAUACUCAGAUGAAACAAGCUGAGAGGGUGAUUACUUUUUUUUUUUUUUGAAUGAAGAGGGUGAUUACUUUGGAGAUGGAGCUGCUUGAAUCAAGAAGGGAGAUACUUCGGCUAAAAGGGAGCAGUGGAAGUUUCUAAGCACUUGGUAUCUCAAAUUAAGUACAAACUUUUGGAGUUUGCAAUGCUUCUCUAGCUACUUCUUUGUCUUUUGAAAAUAUGAAUCUAUGAGAAGAUGAUUAUAUUGUUUAAAGAGAUGUUCCAGUGGAAGCUAAAAGUUUAUAGUCCUCCACUUAGAUUAGUUUCAUCAUCAUGAACGUGCUUGAAUUAGUGUAUGUUCAUGACUCUAUUGCUAUGGUUUUAAGUUUACAGUUUCUAAGAUGGUUACGAAAACUAUAGGUUAAAAAGGAAAAAAUGGCGACAAAAUUGGAAGCGCAAGGUGGUCGUGGAGGAGAAGAAUGAGACGAUGGUGGUGCUUACGUAAACGUCAAGAAAGUGUAUGUUGGUCAAGGUGAUUCUGGUGUGGUUUACGUCAAGUUUAAUUACGAGAAAGACUGCAAAAUCGUAUCAUGCGAACAUGGGAAGAUGACACUACUUGGAACAGAGGAGUUUGUACUUGAUCCAGAAGAUUACAUCACAUCAGUGAAAUUUUACUACGAGAAGCUCUUUGGAUCACCGGUAGAGAUCGUCACGGCUCUAGUCUUUAAGACAUUUAAAGGCAAAACUUCUCAGCCUUUUGGAUUAGUCUCUGGACAAGAAGCAUAUAUAUUUGGGUUCUUGCAGCUUGAAUCAAAAAGGGAGAUACUUCGGCUAAAAGGGAGCAAUGGAAGUUUUUAAGCACAUGCAUGGUAAGCUCAAAUUAAGAAUAAACUCUUGGAGUUUGUAAUGCUUCUCUAACUACUUCUUGUCUUUUGAACAUAUGUUAAGAAGGAAAAAAGGAAUAUGGAAA